GUGGGUGGAAGCUCAUCAUAGAGGUCACAUGCAGGGUGCUUGUCACUCAACCAAUCACCUUGGGGAAGGUUUGAGACAAGAGCCAAUCACUGCCCUAGCAGGGUAUCACCUGACCUGGGUGAGUGAGUGCACAGAGAAUAUGGGCCAUUGUGAGUUGUCUUUACAGGAGAAACCAGCCAGAGCAGCUCUCCAGCAGUACUGGUUGAUGUGACCUCACUGGCUUGGAAACACUCAUGGCUGGCAUAUGAGUGCAAUGUGUGAGUUGGAGUACACCUCCAGAACCCAAUUCAGACUACUCUCUGCCCAC
rnacentral:RNase_P_RNA from 13 species